AAAAAUAAUCUUUGAUGUCGAAUUUUACAUCGCUACAACGUAAUUUAUAUUUAAUUUAGUUUGUUUUCUGCGCCAUUGAACGCAUUUCCUAUAAAAGGUACAUCGUAUGAAUAUGUAAUCUUAAAACUAGCAUAAUUUCUACGUUUCCUUUAUUAAACAUUUUUUGUUACUGUAUUUGUUUUGGUCAGUGGAAAACACCACGUCUAAGAAAUAUAUUUAUUAUUAUUGCAAAGAUUUCAACCGUAAUCAGUAUUGUGGAAAAUAAAUAUUGGGGAGUUUAAGCUUCACGUUUCCGGGAACGGCAGGUUCGAAGUUUCUUGGCAAAAUUUUCGUGGAACGUUUUCGUUUCAUAUUUUCUUUCUUGUGCUAAAAUAAUAAUCAUGCAUUGAAGUUUUAAACAGCAAGUAAGCAAGUUCAUUUAGCGUAAAAUUUUUCUUUGCCUGGCGUUUGCCGUUUGCCGUAUAACGCGAAGCUUAAACUCGCUAAUACUCUAUUGAGUAUUCCGCCAGCAGCCGCCAAAAAUCUCACUGCUUGUCAACAAGAUGUGUUCGCACUGCUUGUUCCCAGUUGUUGACAAGUCUGGAACAAGUUGUUAUCAUCUUGUAACAAGGUUGAUGAGGCCAGCAGACUCGCAACAAGUUGUUCCAACAAGUCUGAUAUCGUCUACACGUAACAAGUAGUUAACAAGUUGAUGACAACAAGCUCGUGGCAACUUGUUACGAAUAGUAUUAAACCUGUCAGUUUAGUUUUGUUAGAACAACUUGUCUGUUACCGUCAUCAACAACUGGGAAGAACAAGCAGUAUAUUAUACGAUGUAGCCUUUUACCAUGAACUCGAGUCGCACACGAAGAACGUGACUCCAAGUCGGCUAUCAGCCAUAUACGACGUCGACGAAAGCAAAUGGAUGGUAUAAUUAUUUCAUAAUAUAACUAAUAGCCACAUUAGGGAGCGGUCACUAUUUAUGGUGGGGGUGGCACCGAAGAGAAAAGGGUUGGGUAAACAAAAUUUUGAGUGAGUAAAAGGUUGGGUAAAUGAAAAACAAAACAACUCAAGGGUUGGGUGAACUCAAGUUGGUCAAUAAAAAAAUCAUUCUCAUUUCCAAAACAUGACUCACUCAAAUAUUGAAGAUUAAAAAGUAAUGACGUCAACGUCAUAUAUGCAUGUCAAUACAUGCAAUAUGUGAACCAAUCAGAGUCACUAUCUUCGUCAUUUUCCGAUUUGUGUGCAGGCAAAUGGUGUCGCCAAAGAAAGUACAUGUCGACACAACAUGAAAUUUUACACUGCAAAAAAUUGCAAAAGCAGUAAUCAAAC